rnacentral:rRNA from 1 species
UACGGAGGAUGCGAGCGUUAUCCGGAUUUAUUGGGUUUAAAGGGUGCGUAGGCGGACUGUCAAGUCAGCGGUAAAAUUGAGAGGCUCAACCUCUUCCCGCCGUUGAAACUGAUGGUCUUGAGUGGAUGAGAAGUACGCGGAAUGCGUGGUGUAGCGGUGAAAUGCAUAGAUAUCACGCAGAACUCCGAUUGCGAAGGCAGCGUACCGGCAUCCAACUGACGCUGAGGCACGAAAGCGUGGGGAUCAAACAGG